rnacentral:rRNA from 1 species
AUACGGAGGGUGCAAGCGUUGUCCGGAUUUAUUGGGUUUAAAGGGUGCGCAGGCGGUGCGUUAAGUCAGGGGUGAAAUCUUCCGGCUCAACCGGGAAACUGCCAUUGAUACUGGCGCACUUGAGUACGGACGAGGUAGGCGGAAUUUAUGGUGUAGCGGUGAAAUGCAUAGAUACCAUAAAGAACACCGAUAGCGAAGGCAGCUUACCAGACCGUAACUGACGCUCAGGCACAAAAGCGUGGGGAGCAAACAGGAUUAGAAACCCCAGUAGUCC